AUCUGAGCUGCUGGACUGGGAUACACGGCUAAAUAUCAUCAUGGGAGCUGCAAAAGGGCUGGCAUACUUGCACCAUGAUUGUUCCCCACGAAUUAUAUAUCGUGACAUAAAGUCAAGUAACAUUUUGCUUGAUGGGAAUUUUGAGGCUUGAGUAUCUGACUUUGGAUUAGCCAAAUUAUUAGAAGAUGAGGAAUCUCACAUUAGGACUAUUGUAGCUGGAACAUUUGGGUAUCUGGCUCCAGAAUAAAUGCAAAGCGGUAGAGCAACAGAAAAGACUGAUGUUUAUAGUUUUGGGGUUCUGGUUCUUGAAGUAGCGAGUGGAAAGCGACCCACUGAUGCAGCAUUUAUUGAGAAGGGCUUCAACAUUGUUGGCUGGGUAAUUGUUGCUUCUGGAGCUGUGAACCAUGAGGACCUUGUUGAGCAAGUGAAGAAGUUGUUUACCAAAUUGUCAUCGGAUCCAACCACAACUUCUGAAUUAGUUGCCAAAGGGCCAGCAAUUUUUUCAGGAUUUUUUGUGUUAAAAUCCUUCGAUUUUUUAUUUAUCUUAUUUUUUCUUUUUUUCCUCGGAUCUGACAGUGGGUGUUUUGGUUCACUUCUUAUUUUUUG